UACGGAGGGUGCAAGCGUUAUCCGGAAUCACUGGGUUUAAAGGGUGCGUAGGCGGUUUUAUAAGUCAGAGGUGAAAUCUGGUCGCUUAACGAUCAAAUUGCCUUUGAAACUGUAAGACUUGAAUUAGGUUGAGGUUGGCGGAAUGUGACAUGUAGCGGUGAAAUGCAUAGAUAUGUCAUAGAACACCAAAUGCGAAGGCAGCUGGCUAGACCUAUAUUGACGCUGAGGCACGAAAGCGUGGGGAGCGAACAGG
rnacentral:rRNA from 1 species